rnacentral:tRNA from 1 species
GUUUUUAUAGUUUAUCAUAAAACAUUGGUCUUGUAAACCAAAGCUAAGAGAACUCUUUAAAAACU